CUCAAAUUGAAUUUUUUUUUGCCUCCUUAGGAAGCCUCAUUAACGAAGACAGCAACUAAAGGAUCCUCAGGAAAAACAGAAAAGAGACGAGUUCACCCUUAUACAGAGAAACAGCUUGGACAGAGCAAGCAGAGCAUUGGGCAAACACCAAAAGGCUUAGAGGACCUCGAUAUCCUGGUGGAGGUACUGCAGGAAGAUUUGAACAAAAGCC